GUUACACAAGAUCUAAAUUGUCUCUUAAGUUAACCUGAACCUGAGAUUUUUGUAAAAACGCAAAAUAUCCUCUAAGGGACGAUAAGACCCUAUAAAUUUUAGUAAAAAGUUUAAUUUAAGAAAUUCACACUUUAAUUUACUUAGUUGGGGCAACACAAAUAUUUAAAUUGUUUGAGUUUAACCCACUUUAAGUGAUUCCAAAAGCCAAUAAAUUGCACAAGAGAAAAAUACUUUAGGGAUAACAGCGUUAUUACUUUGAAGAGCCCGCAUCAAUAAAGUAGUUUGCGA
rnacentral:rRNA from 1 species